rnacentral:snRNA from 1 species
AGAAGUCUUGUACUCUUGCUG